rnacentral:lncRNA from 1 species
UAAUAAUUAAUUAGCACAAAUACCCUAGAAGGAAAUUUGACAAACUAUAUAAAGAACCUCAAAGUGCUUAAUCUCUCUGACUCAGUAUUCCUUUCAGAACUCUGUUCUAAAGAAAUGAACAGGAUAUUGACAAAGAUUCAUAUAAAAAAUAUUAACCUCCAGUUUCUGGUGGCUUCAUUUUAAUUACAGGUCAAAACUUGGCCUUCCUGUGACUGUGCUCAAAGACUUCAGAAGACCCAGGGCCACAGAGAUGAAGAAAUGAUGGAAAUUCAUUUGUGAAGUCAAAUGGGAGAAAACAAAGACCUGCCUUUGAUGCAGUCUAAGUUUUCAGAUCCUGGAACAAAGAGAAUGCUACUCAGCUCUUUCAAAAUGGGCAAGGCUAAAAUGGAUUUUGAAAAUUUUUCUGCAAAAUAAUACAGAGAAAAACUUAUUUUAGAUUUAAGGUAAGCAUCUUUUUCCACAAAGAACCACUACUCUAUUUUUUGAGGUAACUAACCCAUUUCAGUCUUCUGGUUUUUUUCCAGUUAUUGUUGACUUAUUCAAUUGCAGUGUUUGUUGGAACAGACAGCAGACAUGUGCCAGCUGGGUUCCUUGAAUGACAUGACAUAGAUCACUGAUCUAAGCAUGGGUUAAAUAGCUCAGACAACUGGCUUUAAGGCUACUGGGAUACAGAAGUAAAGCAAGUCAAGAAAGAAAAUGUAUUCAGUGAUUGACAUAUCAACUGGAAAGCCUCCUGUAGUGAGACCUGGGCAGGGAUACAGGUGCACAGGUCGACAUAGUAGGGCACAUUACAUUUAACAAGCACCAUAUUUUCUGCACCUCAGCCUCCCCAACACACAUAUACUUGCAGAAGUUGAACUCAGAAGUAGGCAUUUCCUCCAAGUGAAAUCUCUCUCAGACCCUGACUUCUGGCUUAGCAGGGUAUCACCACACAAUUUGAUGGGAAAUUUAGCACUAACAUUUGUAACCAGUAUUAGUCUUAAAAGUUAUGAAUUCAAGUUGUGUAAAUAUCUAAAUUUAUGUUCCUUUUUUUAUUAUUAAUUGCUUCUCAAGUUGCUAUUUCUGCUGGUGAGUCACUUUUAUUAGUGUCUCAUUCUUGCUUGAAUAAAUAGCCAAUCAACUAACAACAAAUGCUGGUGGGGAUAUGGGGGAAAAAGAAACCCUUCUCCACUGUUGGUGGGAGUGCAGACUGGUGCAACCACUGUGG